UGGAAUCAUUAUGAUAUCGACAAUACUAAGAAAACAUGUUAUAUAUCCUUUUGGAAAGGGUACUUAAUUAUCCAAAAAACAACUUUUUUAGUUUUUCAUUGGCUACGUUACACUUAACAUUUGCGGUACAUUUCAUUACGACUUAAUAAGAGUUCUAAACAACUUUUCGCUAACUUGGCACUAAGGCAGUUGAA